rnacentral:rRNA from 1 species
AACGUAGGUUCCGAGCGUUAUCCGGAUUUACUGGGCGUAAAGCGCGUUCAGGCGGUUUGGCAAGUCGGGCAUGAAAUCUCUCGGCUCAACCGGGAGAGGUUGUCCGAUACUGCUGGACUUGAGGGCAGUAGAGGGUGGUGGAAUUCCAGGUGUAGCGGUGAAAUGCGUAGAUAUCUGGAGGAACACCGGUGGCGAAGGCGGCAUCCUGGACCGGCAUUGACGCUGAGGAGCGAAAGCCAGGGGAGCAAACGGG